GAAAAGAAAUAGAAAAGUAUAGAAAAGUUCAGUGUGGAAUAGACUUACAAAGAAUCGUAUUUUUACGGCUCAGAUCAGCUAGUACAAAUUAAAGAUUGUCGUAUUAACGCAAAAUAAACAAAUGUUAAAACUAUGAGUGAAAAAGAAAAUUUCGAGCACGAAAAAUAAUGUUUUCAAACAAACGUAAAACACGUUGUUGUACAAAAAGCAAGUUUGAUGGAAGUCCUGUUUGAUCCUAACCCUCUUGGUUGGUGUUUGAUCCUAACCCUCUUGCAAACACAGAACUACCAACAAACAGACAGAUUAUUCAAGAUUCCUGUAAAAGAAAGGUUAUAUUUAAAAGACCAGAGAGAAAAGUCAGGCCCAAAAGAAUCAUUUCAACUAGGCUCAGUUGAUUAUGAACGGACUAGAAAAAAAUCAUAAAACUGAUUAUAAAAAUGUGGAACAAUCAUUACAAUAAGAAACAUCUAGCUUACUUUCAGAAAUAUUGUUACCAGAAUCUGAUUCAGAACCUGUCAUCUCUAGCUCUAGUGAAAUAUGGGAGCCUGGAAUCCAUUAGGAAUUUACAAUCUUAGGAAGUUUCCAAAGGUUUCAAAGUUGAUCAGAUAAGAUAUAGGAAGUUCGAUUGGAGCUGUAUUAGGAAAUGCUUUUAUGUUCGAUCUUUCAGGACUGUUUAAUGAUCUAACAAUUAUAUAAACUUUAGUUUUAGACAAAUCCAAAAUAGACAGAUAAAAGAAGUUAUUUAAAGUAUUGUCAGACUUAAAAUCCGUAGAGAAUAACAAAGAGUUUGUUCGCCUUGUUGUUGAUGGUAAAAUUGAUAAUAAAACUUUAGUUAUAAGAGAAAUCAAAAAAGAAGAAGGCGAGGUUGUAUUAAAGAGAUCAACAGAGAAAGAAAAUCACACAACUGUGACUAAAAAACUUCUCCUAAACAUUUAAAGUGAGGAGUAUCUUACUCAUAAAGUUUUACUUCUUGUUGGCGCAAUAGGAAAAAGCAAGCUUAGUGCCUGUACAAAGUUUUUGAAGAGUAUGUUUUUUUAAACUCGGUAAAAGCAGUUUUGGUAGACAAUACACAGGUCUUAAAGCAGGAAUGGUUGUGGAGUUAGAGAAAAAAACUUGAACGAAAACUUCUGACUAUAGUCUGUCAUCUUCAUCAGAAUGAGCUUUUUCCUUUAGGUCUUUGUUUAGAAAAAUUAAUGGAGCAACUAAGUCACCAAACCAUUUCUCAGCCAGCACGUCAUAUUGAGCUCCACAUGGGGCCCAAUAUGACUUGCUGAGAUAAAUUAACAAAUAUAUCAUAAAUAUAUAUUUUUUUUAUUAUUGUUAUUAAGGUCCCCCAAGAAGACCUUACGGUCUUGUCACAGAGCACCGCGGAGUACAUUUAACCGGGAAGUUCACGC